CUUGGUCAAUUAGAGGAAGUAAAAGUCGUAACAAGGUCUUCGUAGGUGAACCUGCGGAGGGAUCAUUA
rnacentral:rRNA from 1 species